rnacentral:rRNA from 1 species
AUUCCAGCUCCAAUAGCGUAUAUUAAAGUUGUUGCGGUUAAAAAGCUCGUAGUUGGAUUUCUGCCGAGGAUGACCGGUCCGCCCUGUGGGUGUGCAUCUGGCUCAGCCUUGGCAUCUUCCUGAAGAACGUAGCUGCACUUGACUGUGUGGUGCGGUAUUUAGGACAUUUACUUUGAGGAAAUUAGAGUGUUUCAAGCAAGCGCACGCUUUGAAUACAUUAGCAUGGAAUAAUAAGAUAGGACCUCGGUUCUAUUUUGUUGGUUUGCGCAUCAAGGUAAUGAUUAAUAGGGUCAGUUGGGGGUAUUCGUAUUCCGUUGUCAGAGGUGAAAUUCUUGGAUUUACGGAGGACGAACGACUGCGAAAGCAUUUACCAAGGAUGUUUUCAUCG